AGAGUUUGAUCCUGGCUCAGAAUCAACGCUGGCGGCGUUGCCUAACACAUGCAAGUCGAACGCGAAAGUGGAGCAAUCCAUGAGUAGAGUGGCGAACGGGUGAGUAACACGUGGGUGACCUACCUUCGAAUGGGGGAUAACGUCCCGAAAGGGACGCUAAUACCGCAUAACAUCCUGCUUUUGAACAAGUGGAGAUCAAAGCCGGGGAUCGCAAGACCUGGCGUUUGAAGAGGGGCCCGCGUCUGAUUAGCUAGUUGGUGAGGUAACGGCCCACCAAGGCAACGAUCAGUAUCCGGCCUGAGAGGGCGGACGGACACACUGGGACUGAGACACGGCCCAGACUCCUACGGGAGGCAGCAGUGGGGAAUUGUUCGCAAUGGGCGCAAGCCUGACGACGCAACGCCGCGUGGAGGAUGAAGGUCUUCGGAUUGUAAACUCCUGUUGCUCGGGACGAAACGCCUCGACCUAACACGUCGAGGUCUGACGGUACCGGGUGAGGAAGCCCCGGCUAACUCUGUGCCAGCAGCCGCGGUAAUACAGAGGGGGCAAGCGUUGUUCGGAAUUACUGGGCGUAAAGGGCGCGUAGGCGGCCUUCUAAGUCGAACGUGAAAUCCCCGGGCUCAACCCGGGAACUGCGUCCGAUACUGGAAGGCUUGAAUCCGGGAGAGGGAUGCGGAAUUCCAGGUGUAGCGGUGAAAUGCGUAGAUAUCUGGAGGAACACCGGUGGCGAAGGCGGCAUCCUGGACCGGCAUUGACGCUGAGGCGCGAAAGCCAGGGGAGCAAACGGGAUUAGAUACCCCCGUAGUCC
rnacentral:rRNA from 1 species